UAGACCGCCUGGGGAGUACGGCCGCAAGGUUAAAACUCAAAUGAAUUGACGGGGGCCCGCACAAGCGGUGGAGCAUGUGGUUUAAUUCGAUGCAACGCGAAGAACCUUACCUGGUCUUGACAUCCACGGAAGAAUUCAGAGAUGGAUUGGUGCCUUCGGGAACUGUGAGACAGGUGCUGCAUGGCUGUCGUCAGCUCGUGUUGUGAAAUGUUGGGUUAAGUCCCGCAACGAGCGCAACCCUUAUCCUUUGUUGCCAGCGGUCCGGCCGGGAACUCAAAGGAGACUGCCAGUGAUAAACUGGAGGAAGGUGGGGAUGACGUCAAGUCAUCAUGGCCCUUACGACCAGGGCUACACACGUGCUACAAUGGCGCAUACAAAGAGAAGCGACCUCGCGAGAGCAAGCGGACCUCAUAAAGUGCGUCGUAGUCCGGAUUGGAGUCUGCAACUCGACUCCAUGAAGUCGGAAUCGCUAGUAAUCGUGGAUCAGAAUGCCACGGUGAAUACGUUCCCGGGCCUUGUACACACCGCCCGUCACACCAUGGGAGUGGGUUGCAAAAGAAGUAGGUAGCUUAACCUUCGGGAGGGCGCUUACCACUUUGUGAUUCAUGACUGGGGUGAAGUCGUAACAAGGUAACCGUAGGGGAACCUGCGGUUGGAUCACCUCCUUACCUGAAAGAAGC
rnacentral:rRNA from 1 species